UCCUGUCUUCCAUUAGCUUUGGAGCCAGCAUCCUUCUUUACCAUGAGAGAGAAGGCAGAGGGGCAGCACAGACGUGAGUUUCUGGGCAGUCGGUGUCAGUCUUUAUGUGGGCUGCCUAAUGACCACUCGUUGGAUUUUUUGUGGUGUUUUUCUCUGGUCUAUGCACAGCAGAGGGCAAGGCUGGGGGAGACAAGGUUUUUAUAAGUCACUAUCUCAAAAACAAGUGGGAGCGAGUUUCUGGCUCAUCUGCCUUACUACCUGGCCCCGAUCCAGAGCUAUUUAUGAGCAUGGCUGGGCCGUGAAGCUGCAUGCCCUGGCAAUGCCCGGUGGAUGGGCUGUCCCACACCCUAAUUGUGCUGGAAUGGAACCCACAAAGACAUCUCACUUUCACGACUGCACUUUCCAGGAUGGCUGGCCUGGAUCUUCUGCUUGCAGGCCUGUGGGUGCUUCUCCUUCCCCUUGAAGCUCCCCUUAAAGCCCUCAAAACUGUGCUUCACUGAAGGAACCAGGGCGAAAAAGGGCUGCAUAAGAUGAGACUCUGGGCUACUGUUUUUAUUUUUUUGUUUUUAUUUUUUUGAGAUGGAGUCUCCCUCUUGUCGCCCAGGCUGGAGUACAGUGGCACGAUCUCAACUCACUGCAACCUCCGCCUCCCGGGCUCAAGCAAUUCUCCUGCCUCAGCCUCCCAAGUAGUUGGGAUUACAGGCACCCACCACCACACCCAGCUAAUUUUUGCAUGUUUUCUAAAGACAGGGUUUCACCAUGUUAGCCAGACUGGUCUCGAACUCCUGACCUCAGGUGAUCCACCCCCUCCCCUCGGCCUCCCAAAAUGUUGGGAUUACAGGUGUGAGCCACUGCCCCCGGCCCCUGGGCUACUCUUAAAGGCCGUCACAUUAGGCAGUGGUGUUGAUUUUUAGCCUAGGGUACCCUUCUGAAGAUGUGCAGUGGCUGAUCUAUCAGCUGCCUCUCCACUUCCAGAUCCCUUAGGUGUUUCCUAGGGACAAAAAAGUGAGCCAAUACCAAAUAAAAAUCAUGGCAAAGAGAUUUUCAUGGUAGGAAUCAUUGCUCUUAGAGUUGCUAAUUAGCAGGGCAAGAUAAGCAUGUGCAGCAGGGCUGUGGCUGAGCAGUCUGUGGGAGGGUGUGUCCUGGCCAACAGCAGAAGAAUCUGCUGGAAUUGUUGGGGGUGUGUGUAUGAGUGGGGUCGUGAAGCGCGAAGUGUGCAGGCAUGGUGGUGAGGCACACAAGUGUAACAACCUGCUCCAAGUGUCAGAUUUAGAGGAGCCACAUGGAGUUUCAGAUAAGGCAGAGGGCUUUCCCUAUGUGAAUGCAGGUUGAGGUUGUCCACAGGGGAGGUACUUGGCUGGUCUGACUUGGAGGUUCUACCCAGUGGUUCUUCCUGUUGGUUCAGUGGAGGAGGAAGUGACUCUUGACCUCCUAAUGUGCAGAGGCCGGUUAUACAGGGAGCUCUGGAAUAAGCAGACUUCUCAGGGACAGUUCUGGACUGGGUUUGGAGUAGGGCACAAGAAAGGGAUAGGGCAGCAGAUUUUAAUGACCCCAAUGUAUUUUGUGGAUGAAAUCAACACAAGAGUAUCAGAAGCAGUCUGAAGGAAAAACAGAUGUACAGUCUGGUGAAGAAAGGAGGGGCAGACUGGUCCCAUUGCCUUGAUAAAGGGCUUGGAUGCUGUGCAGUGCGUGUGGGAACUGGACUGUUUUUAAAACACUGCCCUCAUUGGACGGCUCCCAGGGCCUCUGCCUGGGCAGCAGGAGUGGAAGACACUGCAAAGGAGGUGACUUGCCAUACUUUAGGGCCAGCUGUUUUCUGGGGUCCGGGUUAGGGUGAGCUUUUUGCCUUCAUUCUGGAAUCAUCAUGGAGAGGGGUUUCUCAAUGCAAUUGGUGUAGUUCCCCGCUUAACAGAAUCACCCCAUUGUUCUCACCGCUUUUUGGGAAUCAGGGCAGCCAGUGCAGGCUGGCAGUGUAGGACCUCAGUGUGUCUUGUUUACUGAAGGUACACGUGUUGUUUUGAAAUGCAGGUGAAGCCAUAUAAUGUCUACAUCACAGUUGCUUACCCACCAGACACAGACACACCUGGCUUUGCCGAAGAAAACAGAACAAAGCCUUUGGAGACUCGACUUAUUUCAGAGACCACAUCUGUGUGCAAACCAGAACAGGUGGCCAAACAAAUUGUUAAAGAUGCCAUACAAGGAAAUUUCAACAGUUCCCUUGGCUCAGAUGGGUACAUGCUCUCGGCCCUGACCUGUGGGAUGGCUCCAGUAACUUCUAUUACUGAGGGGCUCCAGCAGGUGGUCACCAUGGGCCUUUUCCGCACUAUUGCUUUGUUUUACCUUGGAAGUUUUGACAGCAUAGUUCGUCGCUGCAUGAUGCAGAGAGAAAAAUCUGAAAAUGCAGACAAAACUGCCUAAUCUUCUUACCCCUUGGAAGAAGACUGUUUCCAAAUAAUUUGAACAGCUUGCUGCUAAAUGGGACCCAAUUUUUGGCCUAUAGACACUUAUAUAUUGUUUUCAAAUAUGUCAGAUUGGACCAGUGCUCUUCAGAAAUGUGGCUGCAAGCAAGGGGCUAGAAGUUCACCUCCUGACAAUAUUAUUAAUACUAUGCAAAUAUGGAAUAGGAGACCAUUUGAUGUUCUAGGCUUUGUGGUAGAGAGGUGAAGGUAUGAGAAUUAAUAGCAUGUGAACAAGGUAAAGAACACGAUUCCAGAAUGAUCAUUAAAUUUUUUUCUAUUUAUUCUUUUUUUGCCCCCCUAGAGAUUAAGUCCAGAAAUGUACUUUCUGGCACAUAAAGAAAUCUUGAGGACUUUGUUUAAACCUUCCAUAAAAAAACAAUUUUCGGUUUCUAGGGUUCUCUCUCUCUCUCUCUCUCUCUCUCUCUCUGUCUCUCUGUCUCUCUCUCUCUUUCUUUCUUUCUUUCUUUGUGUAUUUUAUUCAAGAUGAGUUGGACCCAUUGCCAGUGAGUCUGAAUGUCACUGACAGCCCUGUGUUGUGCUCAGGACUCACUCUGCUGCUGGUGGAAACUCAUGGCUUCUCUCUCUCUUUGAUCCCAUAAAGCUACGAGGGGGACGGGAGAGGGCAGUGCAAUGGGAGGUAAAGAGAUAUUUUCCAGUAGGAAAAGCAAUGCUUUCUUGUCUUUAGACUCAAAUGCUUAGGGAACGUUUCAUUUCUCAUUCAUGGGGAAAGGCAGCCUCCUUAAAUGUUUUCUGAAGAGCAGUAAAAUCUAGAAGCUUAAGAAUUUACAGUUCCUUCAAUAACCAUGAUGACCUGAAGUUCACCUAUCCCAUUUUAGCAUCUACUUGUUUUUCCCAUCUCUUCCUUUCCAAUUUUGCUUAUACUGCUGUAAUAUUUUUGU
rnacentral:sRNA from 1 species